rnacentral:rRNA from 1 species
GACGAACGCUGGCGGCGUGCUUAACACAUGCAAGUCGAACGGAAAGGCCCUGCUUUUGUGGGGUGCUCGAGUGGCGAACGGGUGAGUAACACGUGAGUAACCUGCCCUUGACUUUGGGAUAACUUCAGGUAACUGGGGCUAAUACCGGAUAGGAGCUCCUGCUGCAUGGUGGGGGUUGGAAAGUUUCGGCGGUUGGGGAUGGACUCGCGGCUUAUCAGCUUGUUGGUGGGGUAGUGGCUUACCAAGGCUUUGACGGGUAGCCGGCCUGAGAGGGUGACCGGCCACAUUGGGACUGAGAUACGGCCCAGACUCCUACGGGAGGCAGCAGUGGGGAAUAUUGCACAAUGGGCGGAAGCCUGAUGCAGCAACGCCGCGUGCGGGAUGACGGCCUUCGGGUUGUAAACCGCUUUCGCCUGUGACGAAGCGUGAGUGACGGUAAUGGGUAAAGAAGCACCGGCUAACUACGUG